AGCAGUAGCCGCGGGAAUACGAAGGGUGCAAGCGUUACUCGGAAUUACUGGGCGUAAAGCGUGCGUAGGUGGUGGUUUAAGUCCGUUGUGAAAGCCCUGGGCUCAACCUGGGAAUUGCAGUGGAUACUGGGUCACUAGAGUGUGGUAGAGGAUAGUGGAAUUUCCGGUGUAGCAGUGAAAUGCGUAGAGAUCGGAAGGAACAUCUGUGGCGAAGGCGACUAUCUGGGCCAACACUGACACUGAGGCACGAAAGCGUGGGGAGCAAACAGGAUUAGAUCCCCGUAGUCCCUGUCUCUUAUACAC
rnacentral:rRNA from 1 species